rnacentral:rRNA from 1 species
UGAAUGGUUUGACGAGAGCUAUGCUGUCUCUUUUAAAUAUUUAAAAAUUAACUUUUAGGUGAAGAGGCCUAAAUUUAUUUAAGGGACAAGAAGACCCUGUUGAGCUUUAGUGAUGCUGUAAACGAUGAAGAAUAAAUUAUUAUUGAUUUGUUGUGUAUUUAUUAUAAUAAAAGUUUGCAGAUAAUCUUUAGUUGGGGCGACUGAGGAACAUAAAAAGCUUCCUUGUAUAUAAAUUAUUUAAGUAAUUGAAUAAAUUAAUGCUUAUGUGUUAUUUUGAUCCAAAUUAUUUUGAUUAAGAGAAAAAGUUACCACAGGGAUAACAGCGUAAUCUUUCUGGAGAGAUCUUAUCGAAAGAAGGGUUUGCGACCUCGAUGUUGGACUAAGAUAUCCUAAGGGUGUAGAAGUUCUUAAAGGUUGGUCUGUUCGACCAUUAAAAUCUU